rnacentral:tRNA from 1 species
GAGAGAGGCCAGAAGCAAUGAGGACUGCUAACCCCCAUCCCCAUGGUUAAACUCCAUGGCUCACUCGC